rnacentral:rRNA from 1 species
GACGUAGGGCGCGAGCGUUGUCCGGAAUUAUUGGGCGUAAAGAGCUCGUAGGCGGUCUGUUGCGUCCGCUGUGAAAUCUCGGGGCUUAACCCCGAGCCUGCAGUGGAUACGGGCAGACUAGAGGUAGGUAGGGGAGAAUGGAAUUCCCGGUGUAGCGGUGAAAUGCGCAGAUAUCGGGAGGAACACCGGCGGCGAAGGCGGUUCUCUGGGCCUUACCUGACGCUGAGGAGCGAAAGCGUGGGGAGCGAACAGG